AUUGAACGCUGGCGGCAGGCCUAACACAUGCAAGUCGAGCGAGCGGCGGACGGGUGAGUAAUGUCUGGGAAACUGCCUGAUGGAGGGGGAAAAAUACUGGAAACGGUAGCUAAUAACGCAUACCAUCAGAUGUGCCCAGAUGGGAUUAGCUAGUUGGGGGGGUAACGGCGCACCUAGGAGACGAUCCCUAGCUGGUCUGAGAGGAUGACCAGCCACACUGGAACUGGGCCACGGUCCAGACGCCUACGGGAGGAAGCAUUGGGGAAGAUUGCAAAAUGGGCGCAAUCCUGAUGCAGCCAGGCCGCGUGUGGGAAGAAGGCCGUCGGGUUGUAAAGCACUUUCAGCGGGGAGGCGUUACCCGCAGAAGAAGCACCGGCUAACUCCGUGCCAGCAGCCGCGGUAAUUC
rnacentral:rRNA from 1 species